rnacentral:misc_RNA from 1 species
GAUGAAGAACGCAGUGAAAUGCGAUAAGUAGUGUGAAUUGCGGAAUUCAGUGAAUCAUCGAAUCUUUGAACGCACAUUGCGCCUUCUAGUAUUCUGGGAGGCAUGCCUGUUUGAGCGUCAUUAAACCUCUCUCAAGUAUGAUUACUUGGAUGUGAAGGAAGAGUACCUUAAACUUAAGGAGUGUUCUCCUUUGAAAUUGAUUAGCAGAUGGUAAUGUUAUUAAAUCCCUGAUGUUGUAAGAAAUAACAGUGGUUUUGUAGACUAUUAUCUAGCUUUAAAUUAUAAUUUUUAUUAUGGUUGACCUCAAAUCAGGUAAGGAUACCCGCUGAACUUAAGCAUAUCAAUAAGCGGAGGA